AGCAGAGAGGUCGAGAAGAAUUAGUAUAGAGUAGUGCCCUUUGGAUUUAGCUGGGAUUAGGUCAUUUGUAACUUUAAUAAGAGCAGUCUCAGUAGAGUUGAGAGGUCGAAAGCCAGAUUGAAGAGGAUCGAGGAGGGAGUUGGAAUUUAGGAAGUGAGUCAUAUGAGUAAAGCCAAGUCUUUCUAGAAGUUUUGAGGGAAAAGGAAACAGGGAUGUGGGGUGAUAGUUGGAAGGGGAAGACGGGUCUAGG